rnacentral:rRNA from 1 species
GAUGAACGCUGGCGGCGUGCCUAAUACAUGCAAGUCGAGCGAACGGACGAUAAGCUUGCUUCUCUGAUGUUAGCGGCGGACGGGUGAGUAACACGUGGAUAACCUACCUAUAAGACUGGGAUAACUUCGGGAAACCGGAUCUAAUACCGGAUAAUAUUUUGAACCGCAUGGUUCAAAAGUGAAAGACGGUCUUGCUGUCACUUAUAGAUGGAGCCGCGCUGCAUUAGCUAGUUGGUAAGGUAACGGCUUACCAAGGCAACGAUGCAUAGCCGACCUGAGAGGAUGAUCAGCCACACUGGAACUGAGACACGGUCCAGACUCCUACGGGAGGCAGCAGUAGGGAAUCUUCCGCAAUGGGCGAAAGCCUGACGGAGCAACGCCGCGUGAGUGAUGAAGGUCUUCGGAUCGUAAAACUCUGUUAUUAGGGAAGAACAUAUGUGUAAGUAACUGUGCACAUCUUGACGGUACCUAAUCAGAAAGCCACGGCUAACUACGUG